rnacentral:rRNA from 1 species
GACGAACGCUGGCGGCGUGCUUAACACAUGCAAGUCGAGCGAGAAACUUCGGUUUCUAGCGGCGGACGGGUGAGUAACACGUGGGCAACCUGCCUCACAAUGGGGGAUAGCCUUCCGAAAGGAAGAUUAAUACCGCAUAACACAAAGGAAACGCAUGUUUCUUUUGCCAAAGAAUUUCGUUGUGAGAUGGGCCCGCGGCGCAUUAGCUUGUUGGUGAGGUAACGGCUCACCAAGGCGACGAUGCGUAGCCGACCUGAGAGGGUGAUCGGCCACAUUGGAACUGAGACACGGUCCAGACUCCUACGGGAGGCAGCAGUGGGGAAUAUUGCACAAUGGAGGAAACUCUGAUGCAGCAACACCGCGUGAGUGAUGAAGGUCUUCGGAUUGUAAAGCUCUGUCUUCUGGGACGAUAAUGACGGUACCAGAGGAGGAAGCCACGGCUAACUACGUGCCAGCAGCCGCCGUAAAAC